UCAGGAUGAAUGCUGGCGGCGUGCUUAACACAUGCAAGUCGAACGCUGAAGCUCCCAGCUUGCUGGGGGUGGAUGAGUGGCGAACGGGUGAGUAUCACGUGAGUAACCUGCCCUUGACUCUGGGAUAAGCCCGGGAAACUGGGUCUAAUACUGGAUAGGACUGGCCAUCGCAUGGUGGUUGGUUGAAAGCUUUUGCGGUUUUGGAUGGACUCGCGGCCUAUCAGCUUGUUGGUGGGGUAAUGGCCUACCAAGGCUUUGACGGGUAGCCGGCCUGAGAGGGUGACCGGCCACACUGGGACUGAGACACGGCCCAGACUCCUACGGGAGGCAGCAGUGGGGGAUAUUGCACAAUGGGCGCAAGCCUGAUGCAGCGACGCCGCGUGAGGGAUGACGGCCUUCGGGUUGUAAACCUCUUUCAGUUGGGAAGAAGCCUUUCGGGGUGACGGUACCUUCAGAAGAAGCACCGGCUAACUACGUGCCAGCAGCUGC
rnacentral:rRNA from 1 species